GCCGAGCGGAAACGAUCCUAGCCAGCUAUGAGGCGUGGAGCGGACGACGGGCGAAUAACGCGUGAGAAUCUGCCCAUCGGGGGGGGAUAACUCGGGGAAACUCGAGCUAAUACCGCAUAAUCCCUACGGGGGAAAGCAGGGGACCUUCGGGCCUUGUGCAGAUGGAGGAGCUAAUAAUNGUNUUAGCGGGAGGGGGAGGCCAAAGCUCACCAAGGCGACGAAACAGCACCCGGGAAGAUAAGGACGACCCCCCCACCGGGACGGAGACACGGCGCGGACUCCAAACGGGAGGCAGCAAGAGGGGAAUCUAGGGACAAAUGGAGGGUCAACCCUAAANGGAGCCAAUGCCGCNGCNUGGUCGAAGAAAGGCCCCACGAGGCCAGCAAAAGCACAGNCCCAGAGGGGGAACGGAAGGCANACCCCCAAACAAAGGGGGAANGACCANCGACCGGUACCCGAACANAAAANAAAGNGNCCCAGGCNAAAANACCACCCCNACCAACCCCGGCAAAACAAAAAGGGACAAAGCCGGAAANCANGAAACACUAGCCACAGAGCACAGCCC
rnacentral:rRNA from 1 species